UCCUGUGUUGGUUGCCUAAUGUGAUGGAAAUUGUCCCCCUAUGAGUCUAAUUUUUGCCUCUCACCAAUUUGCAGUGUUAGGUUGAUGUGGAAGUACUGCCCAUUUCUCUUGAAUGCUACGCCCUUUCGCGUUGCAAUCAUGGCCCAUGGGUUGCUACUAGUUCCCUUGGAUGCAAAACCUUUGAAGGGUGCACAACAUGUUUCUAUUGCUUACCCACAAAGCGCUCAUGGCUCGAUGUGUAUGACGGUUGUGCCUGUCUUUGUCCCGUCUUUAACCCAUUUGGACANNACCCAUGCGGUGCCAGCGUCAUGAAGGAAUGC
rnacentral:misc_RNA from 1 species